CUUAGCUUCCAGUGGAAGAGCUGGGGAUCUCCCAGCAAGUCAGCAUCCGCUAAAAGGGAACUAACAUCCUACAGUCAGGACUGCCAACAUUGCUAUGGAAACCCCCCAAAAAUAAAGACUUUCCCAGCCUUGUGAGAGCACACCUGCAAGAACAAGAAUUGCAGUUAGCCUUUUGCCUGUCAAAAACUACUCUCCUUCAAUAUCAGUGUCGCUUAAGGACAUCUUUUAUGUUUGGGCUGGAGCUUCCUGGUGUUCGUAUGAAAAAUCUUCACAGAAGAGGAGUAUGGUGUUUCUGAGAGGAAACCUUCACAGCACUGCACAGGUACUGUGGGCAGCGACAGUGGUCGUUCG